rnacentral:rRNA from 1 species
GACGAACGCUGGCGGCGUGCCUAAUACAUGCAAGUCGAACGCAGUGGGGACGGGUGAGUCACACGUGGGUAACCUCCCAUCAGAGGGGAUAACACUUGGAAACAGGUGCUAAACCGACACUGGAGGAUGGACCCGGGGUGCAUUCGCUAGUUGGUGAGGUAACGGCUCACCUAGGCUACGACGCAUAGCCGACUUGAGAGAGAGAUCGGCCACACUGGGACUGAGACACGGCCCAGACUCCUACGGGAGGCAGCAGUAGGGAAUCUUCGGCAAUGGACGAAAGGCUGACCGAGCAACGCCGCGUGGGUGAAGAAGGUUUUCGGAUCGUAAAACUCUGUUGUUAGAGAAGCGGUAUCUAACCAGAAAGCCACGGCUAACUACGUGCCAGCAGCCGCGGUAAUAC